rnacentral:tRNA from 1 species
GCCGGGGUGGCGGAACUGGCAGACGCGCAGGGUUUAGGACCCUGUGUCCGCAAGGACGUGGGGGUUCAACUCCUCUUCCCGGCA